AUUGAACGCUGGCGGCAGGCCUAACACAUGCAAGUCGAACGGUAACAGGAAGCAGCUUGCUGCUUUGCUGACGAGUGGCGGACGGGUGAGUAAUGUCUGGGAAACUGCCCGAUGGAGGGGGAUAACUACUGGAAACGGUAGCUAAUACCGCAUAACGUCGCAAGACCAAAGAGGGGGACCUUAGGGCCUCUUGCCAUCGGGUGUGCCCAGAUGGGGUUAGCUAGUAGGUGGGGUAACGGCUCACCUAGGCGACGAUCCCUAGCUGGUCUGAGAGGAUGACCAGCCACACUGGAACUGAGACACGGUCCAGACUCCUACGGGAGGCAGCAGUGGGGAAUAUUGCACAAUGGGCGCAAGCCUGAUGCAGCCAUGCCGCGUGUAUGAAGAAGGCCUUCGGGUUGUAAAGUACUUUCAGCGGGGAGGAAGGGAGUAAAGUUAAUACCUUUGCUCAUUGACGUUACCCGCAGAAGAAGCACCGGCUAACUCCGUG
rnacentral:rRNA from 1 species